rnacentral:lncRNA from 1 species
CGGCCCUGCGCAUUGGUCCCGAGCUUCAGCAACCUGCCGUUUGAUUGGUUCGAGGCCAGGGGGCGGGGCCUUGGACCCGGCGCAGAGAAGCCGGAAUUAGGUGACGUAAACAGAGCCCCGCCCCCGGCGCCGGCAGGCUCUGAGAGGGCGGGGCCUCAGGGAGCCCCGCCCAGCGUCGGGAGCGCGUGCUCAGUGCGGCUCUGCGGUUGCAGGAAACCUUCCGUGGUAUUGCAUGGCGUUCAAAGCUUUCCUAAACUCAGAAGAUCUGUGCUGGAGUCUUCCAAUUUACCAUGUACUAGGUGUACAACUUAGAAGAGAAGAUCACUCCUGGAUAGUUUUGUCUCCUGGCCACCAGGAGUUUGUGAAAGUUGGCAAGUACAGUGCUGCGUGUUAGUCAGCUCUGCAGUUUCAUCAACUUCUCGGCUUCUAUUGGAUGACUAGUCUCAAUGUUGGUGCCAUAGACUGUUGGGCCUCCCAAAUUUUGUGUGUCACAAAAUUACUCAAAGGACAUGGAUUGGCAUUGGCAAGGAGUAUUUUUUCUCUCACUCAAGACUACUUUUUACUUCAGAGGAAAUGGGGCCAAAUUGCAUUUCACCAAUUAUGGAAGGGAUCGAUUCUGGAAACCCGAGUUAAUGGCAUUAUGUUUCUGACUUCCUCCAGAGCUGUUCUAAUGCCCAUUACAGCUGGCUGCUGCUUAGUAGCCCGUCUACUAACCCGGCUCUGAGAAUAUCCAGAUCCUACCAAUGUGAUCAGAAUUACACUCAAAGAAAUAGGAUGGAAAAAGACAGUAAUUCAGAGGGUAGAGCUGUACUGAAAUCCAUCUGUGAAGAGGCUGGAAAGUGAGGAGACCCUGAGGAAGAAUUCGUGCAGUGUCUAUCCAGCAGAGCUGACGAUCGGGAAGGCGCUGCACUCUGAGUGGACGUGCCUGGGCCCUCCAUGGUUUUGGUGAAAUAUUCACAUGGUAGAAGACGCGAAAUACUCAAAAAGACAAGGAAACAGAUCCUCUCUAGAGCCUCGGAGGACACCUUGAUUUCAGCCCAGUGACGUUGACUUUGGCCUUCCGGCCUCCAGAACUAUAGGCUAUAAGAGAAUAAAUGUGUGUUGCUCUGAGCCACCAAUUUGUGUGCCUUGUCCCAGCAGCCACAGGAAGUGAAUGCACUGGUCACAUCCUGAACAGGCAGUAGUGGCCCCUUGGAGUCAGCAGCUCCCUCAAGACCUCCCCUGCGACAGGAGCACCCAAAACACAAGCACACCUUUCUCUUGCUAAUAACGAUUAAUCUCCAUUUAAAGUAAAACUUUAAAAGUUUUACUAAAAGACUUCCGACUACCUGGGGAGGCAUGACAUAGAUGAAGAGGACUGAAAACUCCACCCUGCCGCCAUGUGAGCUGGUCACCUAUGAGCCCGUGCCUCUCUUCUAUACUCUAAUGCUGGUCCUGGUCCAGUUUCCAGGAGCCAGGUGAAUGGAUAAACAAACUUCGGUACAUUCAUAUAAUGGAAUAUUAUUUAGUGAUGCAAAGAAAUGAGCUGUUAAGUCACAAAAAGACAUGAAGGAAACUGAAAUGCAUAUUGCCGAGUG